rnacentral:rRNA from 1 species
UAUGAACGCUAGCGGCAGGCCUAAUACAUGCAAGUCGAACGGUGUCUUCGGACAUAGUGGCGCACGGGUGCGUAACACGACUGCAACCUACCUUACAUUGGGGGCUAGUCUUUCGAAAGGGAGCUUAAUACCGCAUUAGACAGUAGCUGGGCAUCAAGCAGCUACUAAAGAUUUAUCGAUGUAAGCUGGGCAUGCGUCCAAUUAGCUAGUUGGUGAGGUAACGGCUCACCAAGGCAAUGAUUGGUAGGGGAACUGAGAGGUCAAUCUCCCACACUGGCACUGAGAUACGCGCCAGACUCGUAGGGGCGGCAGAAAUAGGGAAUAAUGGGCACUGGACACAAGUCUGCCCCAGCCAUGCCGCGUACAAGAUGAAGGCGUUAUGAGUUGUAAACUGCUUUUAUACAGGAAGAAACAACUCUUGCGAGGGGCAUUGACGAUACUGUAUGAAUAAGCACCGGCUAACUCCGUGCCAGCCGCCGCCGUAAGAC